GACGAACGCUGGCGGCGUGCUUAACACAUGCAAGUCGAGCGGAAAGGCCACUUCGGUGGUACUCGAGCGGCGAACGGGUGAGUAACACGUGAGUAAUCUGCCCUGGACUUUGGGAUAGCCACCGGAAACGGUGAUUAAUACCGGAUACGACGACUCCACGCAUGUGGUGGUUGUGGAAAGUUUUUUCGGUUCAGGAUGUGCUCGCGGCCUAUCAGCUUGAUGGUGGGGUAAUGGCCUACCAUGGCUUCGACGGGUAGCCGGCCUGAGAGGGUGACCGGCCACACUGGGACUGAGACACGGCCCAGACUCCUACGGGAGGCAGCAGUGGGGAAUAUUGGACAAUGGGCGGAAGCCUGAUCCAGCAACGCCGCGUGAGGGAUGACGGCCUUCGGGUUGUAAACCUCUUUCAGUACCGACGAAGCGAAAGUGACGGUAGGUACAGAAGAAGCACCGGCCAACUACGUGCCAGCAGCCGCCGUAAGAC
rnacentral:rRNA from 1 species